AUGGAAGCUGGCGGCUCGCUUCGCAGGAACCCCGCGUGCCUCACAGCGUGCGGGAACCUCCGAACGGCUCAGGAGCGCUGCGAGCACCGGGGAGCGCUCAGAGCAGCGCCGGCACCGCCGCGUCCCGGCCGGGAGGGGCAGCGCCGGGCCGGCAGCGGAGGGCAGAGCGGAGGGCGGCGGGGCGGCCUCGGGAGGAACGCGGCGGCCGCUCCGUCUCCGCCGUCGCGAAGCGGCCGUUGGGGGAAGUCGGCGGAUUCCUCGGAGCCGACGGAGCGCGGCCCGAAGGCGCUUCCUAGCCGCUUCAUAGCCGCCCCGCCGGGUCCCGGCACGGCGGAGCGGUUCGGCCCGUCCGCCCGGCCUCGCCCCUCGGGGUUCCCCCGCCGCCACGCCGCGGUUCCCGGCCCCGCGAGGCGCCGUGCUGGCAGCGCGGACAAAGCGGAUGCCUCGAAUUCCUCCCCACCCCGCGGCGCGGGGCUCCGCCGGGCCGGGACCGCGGCACCCGUGCGGCGCCCGUCCGCCCUCCGUGCCCCCCUCCUCCCCGCCGCCGCCGCCUCCUACCUGCGCCGGGCCGGGCUUCCGCUGGCGGCCGCCGGGACGGGCCGGGCCGGAGCAGCCGCGGCGCGGAGUUGGGCGGCCGCAGCCCGCGGGGCCGUGCUGGAGCGGCGGGUCCGGGCGCUGACAAUGAGAGGCGGCCCCGGCGCCGCUACGUCACCGCGAGGGGAGCGGGGCCCGGCGGGGCGGGGGGCGGGAGCGGCGCCGCCGGGCGGGGCGGGGGUCGGGGGCCCGGCGGUGCCGGACGGUCGCGGAGUUUCGCCGCCGCCUCCGCCGGGCGAUCCGCUCCGGGCGGCGCGGCUUCCGCGGGAUCCGCCGUCGUUGGGAGAAGCGAGGAAGGAGUUUCGGCCAUUUUGGGGGAAAGAGGGAGCGGGGCGGCCGGAGGGAACCGCGUGCCGGGAGAGCGAAACGGGACGGAGCGGCGGGCGAUGGGGGCACCGGGAGGGGAACGGGGGAGGCGGGGAGCGGCUCGGGGCCGGAGCUCCGCGGGAGGAGGGAGCGGGGGGAGCGGCGGAGCGGCGGCCCUCGGCCCGUCCGGAGGUGCGGAGCUCCGCUCCCGAGCCGUGCGCAGCUCCCGCUGUCGGCAACGCGCCGAGGAGGGAACGUAGGUCGGAUGGCACCGGGGUGUGGAGGAAAGUUCGUCCUGAAGGGCUGCCCCACAACGUGCCGCUUCUAGUCUGGGACGUGGCGCUGAGCGGAGCGGUCGGUGAUUCAGCCGUGGUUGCCUCUGGUACCAUAGAAUGGCUGAAGAUGGAAGAGACCCUCAAAGGUCCAACUCGCAGCAUUGAGCGCAGGCACCCGCAGCUCCAUCAGCGCUCAGAGCCCCUCCAGCCUCACGCUGGGUGUCCGCCCCUAUGA
rnacentral:lncRNA from 1 species